rnacentral:rRNA from 1 species
UACAGAGGGUGCAAGCGUUGUUCGGAAUCAUUGGGCGUAAAGCGUGUGUAGGCGGUCUGCUAAGUCUGGUGUGAAAGCCCGGAGCUUAACUCCGGAAGUGCACUGGAUACUGGCAGGCUAGAGGACGAGAGAGGGAGGCAGAAUUCCUGGUGUAGGGGUGAAAUCCGUAGAUAUCAGGAGGAACAUCGGAAGCGAAGGCGGCUUCCUGGCUCGUUUCUGACGCUGAGACACGAAAGCGUGGGUAGCAAACAGG